AUUAUUAUUUGUUUACUAUGUUAUUCUUCCUUUCAGAAAAUGUUGAGUCAUUUCCCUCUUAGCAUCAAUGUCCAAAAAAUACAUGGCAACUCAUGACCUAGAAACAUAUUUAUAUAACAUCACAAACAUUUUCCAUGGCAGCAAGCCUUGUCAAGCUGUCAGAUGCCAUGAGACAGAUUUCUGAGCAGUUCCCAAACAAAUAUAAUUCUAAUAUAGAAAUGAAUAAGAUUCUUGCUGCUCUACAGUGACAUGAAACAAUAGACCUGUAAGCACACUGGCCCGUACAACCAAAGAAUAUAUGAUUUAAGUCAGGAGUGCGUGACAGGACUUAUUAUGGAACACAGAAAAACCAGAAGUUUCAGGGGACAGAUGAAGGACUCCUCUAAACUGCUCUGGCCAGAGAAGACCAUCUCUAAUGACCACCAAGGAAAAGAAAAGAUGAGGAAACUGAUUGGCCCAGGUCAUAUAGCUAUGAAUAUUUGAGGCACUUCUGUAAAACAGAUUCUAUACUUGUCAGUCAAUAGCAGAUAUCAGUUCUUUCCAGCAAGGAGAAGUAAAGAAAGAAGGCAAAAAGGAAUACUUGGGGUGGCAUUCUAGUAGGAAAGGCUGAACAUAUCCUAAAGUAAAGGAGUCUAAAAACCUGACUGGAACUAUUCUUGUCCCUCUAAAGAGCAAUCAGGGGACUCUUUUUCCUCUGAGAAAAGGUAAUCUCAGGUCCUUUUUAAAAAAGACUACAAAGCUCUUUUUAGUACAUACUGUUAUACAGAGGAAAGUGAAACAAUGUCUGAUGAAGAAGAGAAUCCCCUGGACUCCAGAGAAAGCAUGGAACAACAAGAAGAAAUUCCAUGUUGGUUCAAAAGAAAAAUAAAAUAAAUAGAAGAAAUUGGGAUUGAAUUUGU
rnacentral:lncRNA from 1 species